rnacentral:lncRNA from 10 species
UUACAGUGGUGCCAGUCCCACACAUACACUUCAGAUUUCAAGCAUCAUGGAAUAAAUACUCAGAACAACUCCCUGCUGACCCAUAAAAUAUGGGAAUUGCAGAUGCUACCCAUAAAAAUGCUACUUUGACAUCACUUCUGCAAUAGGUCUGAGACAGAGAGCUAAAGACAUUUCAUAAAAUGGGCAUGAAGGAUUCCUUCAAAUGAAGACGUGGACAAAAUGAUUGGUCAGGUCCUUUGCUCUACUGUUGAAUGGAGGAGGAUUUUUUUUUUUUUUCCCUCACACAGGGGUUUUCUUGGAGCUCAAGUUUGGAUGACCCCAGACAGUAAGAUAAUCUCAUCAUGGUAAAGUUAAUAUGAAAUAUGUGGUCUCCAAACAGCCUCUCCCAGAGGCCAGGAUCAGCAGGUUUGAGUGGAUAAUUGGCUUGUGGUCAUUUUCUCAUAGGAUUUUUCUUUUAGUAGUGGAAACUGUUUUUCAAAUCAAAUUUGGAUGCCAACUAUGUGGAACAGAAGUGUGGCUGCUCUGGUGGAAGUGGCAAUGGUAGUCCUAGAGUCUCCCUGUCAGCCACACCCUUUGUCUCCCCCUACCCAAGGGACCCUGUGGCCUGGAACCGCAGUGUGAAAUGCUAUAUAGUGCAAUGAAGUCAAUUCGAAGACAAGAGUUCUUUGCCUUUCUCAUCUAAUUUUUAGUUAUGGAUAUGAGACGCUUGUUCAGAAGUAUGGAAAAGUAUAUAUAAUAUGUUAUCUUUUAGAUGUGGGUGUAAAUAUGCUUAUGUAUGCAAUAUGCUUAUAUUUUAACGCAUAAACAACAUGAAUAAAG